CCUACGGGAGGCAGCAGUGAGGAAUAUUGGUCAAUGGGCGCGAGCCUGACCCAGCCAAGUAGCGUGAAGGAUGACUGCCCUACGGGCUGUAAACUUCUUUUAUAAAGGAAUAAAGUGAGGCACGUGUGCCUCUUUGUAUGUACUUUAUGAAUAAGGAUCGGCUAACUCGGGGCCAGCAGCCGCGGUAAUACGGAGGAUCCGAGCGUUAUCCGGAUUUGUUGGGUUUAAAGGGAGCGUAGGUGGGUUGUUAAGUCAGUGGUGAAAGUUUGCGGCUCAACCGUAAAAUUGCAAUUGAUACUGGCAGUCUGGAGUGCAGUUGAGGAAAGCGGAAUUCGUGGUGUAGCAGUGAAAUGCGUAGAUAUCACGAAGAACUCCGAUGGCGAAGGCAGCUAACUAAACUGCCACUGACAUUGAUGCUCGAAAGUGUGGGUAUCAAACAGGAUUAGAUACCCGAGUAGUC
rnacentral:rRNA from 1 species